rnacentral:rRNA from 1 species
AGUAGCGAACGAGUGAGUAACACGUAGUAACCUGCCCACUGGAGGGGGAGAACCACUGGAAACGGUGGCUAAUACCGCAUAAGCCCGAAAGGGGAAAGCAAUUUAUUGUGCCGGUGGAGGGGACUGCGGGCCAUCAGGAAGAUGGUGAGGUAAAAGCUCACCAAACCGACGACGGCUAUCUGACGUGAGAGCGUGAUCAGACACGAGGACACUGAGAGACGGGUCCUACUCCUACGGGAGGCAGCAGUGGGGAAUAUUGGACAAUGGGGGAAACCCUGAUCCAGCGACGCCGCGUGAACGAAGAAGUCCUUCGGGAUGUAAAGUUCUUUUAAAUGGGAAGAAGACCGUGACGGUACCAAUUGAAUAAGCCCCGGCUAACUACGUGCCAGCAGCCGCGGUAAGACGUAGGGGGCAAGCGUUACCCGGAAUCACUGGGCGUAAAGGGAGCGUAGGCGGUUAUGCAGGUCAUACGUUAAAGCAUUCGGCUCAACCGAAGAGAUGCGUAUGAAACCGUAUAACUUGAGGAUAUCAGAGGAAAAGGGAAUUACCAUUGUAGGGGUGAAAUCCGUAGAGAGUGGUAAGAAUGCCGGUGGCGAAGGCGCUUUUCCGGGGUAUACCUGACGCUGAGGCUCGAAAGCCAGGGGAGCGAACCGGAUUAGAUACCCGGGUAGUCCUGGCCGUAAACGAUGUUCACUAGGUGUAGGAUGUCGACAGGCAAACUGUGCUGAAGCAAACGCGAUAAGU